UAAAUGAUAAUGAGAUUUUUUUGAUAUCUGCAAAUGGCAUUCUAUCUAUAAAUAAAGCUGGAAAAAAUCAAAAUCUUUUAGAUUUGAUGACAAUGUUAUACCGACAUCAUACAUCAAAACUUUUUUGGCAUCACACAUUGUGAUGUCAUAAUAAUGACACAUGUUGGUGACAUUCUGGAUAUCAUCUGUUGUUACAUCAUAUCUUGGAAUUGUUUUAAUGUCACAUACUGAUGAUGAUCUGGGAUGUAAUCUAUUGUUAAAUCAUAUGUUUGGAACAUUUGUGAUGGUAUUCAUUGUUACGUCUCACACACCAACAUUUUAUGAUGUCAUUCAUUGCUACUUCAUACAUCAGAAUUAUUAUGAUAUCAUUGCUGUGCCAUAUUGAUGUCACAUGAUGAUGAUCUGGAAUAGUGCUUGGCAACCUACAUACACUGAAGUGACUGAUAAUUAUUACUUUUAAGUAUUGGAAUUCUGGAUGCCACUGAAAUUGAAUUAGUAAAACUACAUGUUUUAAAUCAUAAUGCUUGUAAUACUUAAAGUAUGUGCUACAAUUGUUUUUAAACACAAACAUAUUAUUUUUUCAUCAUGUCUUAUGAAACCAUAAUUUAUUUUCCACUCUUGAAAUAGUCAAUUUUUUUUGGUUUUGGAAAAAUUUUGCUAAUCCUUAUUCUCUAGGCCAUGCCAUUAAAAAACUUCUGCAUGCCAUUUAGUGGUACACAUGCCAAAGAUUGCUGACUGCUGUUUUAGGACAUCGUCCAUUGUUAUGUUAUAUGCUGAAAUUUUUUGCUGCCAUUAACUGUUACAUUAUAAUAACAUCACACACUGGUGAUGUUUGUAACAUUUAUCAUUGUUAUGUUGUGGUUAUGCCACAUCUAUAAGACCCAACUUCAUGCUUUGCAACAUAAACAACAGUCAGAACAAUAAUUUGAAGGAUUUAAAUACAUAUUUUAAAUUAUGAGUUCAAAAUGCUUACCUCUUGGAGUGAUUUUUGAUCAAGAAUAUCCUGUAUUAUCCACAGUGAAUAUAAUUUUACAAAGUUUGAUCCAAUAGGUCAGACAAUGUGGAAAUCAGUGCAGAAUGGACAGACAUUAUAUUUUAAAUAUAUAUAGAUAAAUUAAUAUUGGUUGCCAAAUGACAAUUCUGUAUAAAAAGGAAAGGUUGCCAUAGAGUCAGAAAUGUACAAAUAUGAUAUAUUUUAUAAACAAUUGAAUGAUUCAUCUUCAGAAUAGUUAUCUUAGUUGUCUUGUUCAACAUAUUAAAAUAAUGAUGAAAAAAUAGCUGAUUUAUCCAGAAUGAAACAGACAACUUCAGUUGAUUAAAUAUAUAAUAUAAAAUUUUCUUAAUUCGCAUUAAUAUGUAUUUUGAAUGGUUU
rnacentral:lncRNA from 1 species